AGAGUUUGAUCAUGGCUCAGGACGAACGCUGGCGGCGUGCUUAACACAUGCAAGUCGAGCGGUAAGGCCUUUCGGGGUACACGAGCGGCGAACGGGUGAGUAACACGUGGGUGAUCUGCCCUGCACUCUGGGAUAAGCUUGGGAAACUGGGUCUAAUACCGGAUAUGACUACAGCAUGCAUGUGUUGUGGUGGAAAGAUUUAUCGGUGCAGGAUGGGCCCGCGGCCUAUCAGCUUGUUGGUGGGGUAAUGGCCUACCAAGGCGACGACGGGUAGCCGACCUGAGAGGGUGACCGGCCACACUGGGACUGAGACACGGCCCAGACUCCUACGGGAGGCAGCAGUGGGGAAUAUUGCACAAUGGGCGGAAGCCUGAUGCAGCGACGCCGCGUGAGGGAUGAAGGCCUUCGGGUUGUAAACCUCUUUCAGCAGGGACGAAGCGUGAGUGACGGUACCUGCAGAAGAAGCACCGGCUAACUACGUGCCAGCAGCCGCGGUAAUACGUAGGGUGCGAGCGUUGUCCGGAAUUACUGGGCGUAAAGAGUUCGUAGGCGGUUUGUCGCGUCGUUUGUGAAAACCCGGGGCUCAACUUCGGGCUUGCAGGCGAUACGGGCAGACUUGAGUGUUUCAGGGGAGACUGGAAUUCCUGGUGUAGCGGUGAAAUGCGCAGAUAUCAGGAGGAACACCGGUGGCGAAGGCGGGUCUCUGGGAAACAACUGACGCUGAGGAACGAAAGCGUGGGUAGCAAACAGGAUUAGAUACCCUGGUAGUCCACGCCGUAAACGGUGGGCGCUAGGUGUGGGUUCCUUCCACGGGAUCUGUGCCGUAGCUAACGCAUUAAGUACCCCGCCUGGGGAGUACGGCCGCAAGGCUAAAACUCAAAGAAAUUGACGGGGGCCCGCACAAGCGGCGGAGCAUGUGGAUUAAUUCGAUGCAACGCGAAGAACCUUACCUGGGUUUGACAUGCACAGGACGACUGCAGAGAUGUGGUUUCCCUUGUGGCCUGUGUGCAGGUGGUGCAUGGCUGUCGUCAGCUCGUGUCGUGAGAUGUUGGGUUAAGUCCCGCAACGAGCGCAACCCUUGUCCUAUGUUGCCAGCGGGUUAUGCCGGGGACUCGUAGGAGACUGCCGGGGUCAACUCGGAGGAAGGUGGGGAUGACGUCAAGUCAUCAUGCCCCUUAUGUCCAGGGCUUCACACAUGCUACAAUGGCCGGUACAAAGGGCUGCGAUGCC
rnacentral:rRNA from 1 species